rnacentral:rRNA from 1 species
CGGCAAGGGGGUCAUCCCGACUUACCAACCCGAUGCAAACUGCGAAUACCGGAGAAUGUUAUCACGGGAGACACACGGCGGGUGCUAACGUCCGUCGUGAAGAGGGAAACAACCCAGACCGCCAGCUAAGGUCCCAAAGUCAUGGUUAAGUGGGAAACGAUGUGGGAAGGCCCAGACAGCCAGGAUGUUGGCUUAGAAGCAGCCAUCAUUUAAAGAAAGCGUAAUAGCUCACUGGUCGAGUCGGCCUGCGCGGAAGAUGUAACGGGGCUAAACCAUGCACCGAAGCUGCGGCAGCGACACUAUGUGUUGUUGGGUAGGGGAGCG